GUACAAAACUUGAUGUAUUCAUCCCUUUUUUUUUUCCUCCCAGACCAGGUUUUCCCAUUCCCAAACCUUAGCCAGAUGGAGGGGGAUGCUGCAAGGAAAAGGAAGAUGCCCCACGACACCCCGGCAGACAAGGUGCUGAGGAUGGAGACCAGAGAUGACAAAUCUUCACAGCAGAACCUUGUGGAAGAAGCUGUUUUGAAGGACUCCAUGGCACAGGAAUCGAACAGGGAGGUAAAGCCCAAGAGAUCCCACAGGAUGAGGGCCUGCAAUCCCAGCCCAGGGUGCUCUGAGGAGGAAAGACCCACCCUGUGCCAGGAAGGUGGACAGAGCUUCAGCCAGAGCUUGGAGCUGAUGGUCCAUGAGGAGCUUCAUGAUGGGGAGAAGCCCUACAAGUACUUGGAGUGUGGGAAGAGCUUCAGGCAGAGCAGCACCCUGAUCCGCCACCAGAUGAUCCACACCGGGGAAUGGCCCUACGAGUGUGGGGAGUGUGGGAAGGGCUUCAGCUACAGAUCCACCCUUGUGACCCACCAACGCAUCCACACUGGGGAGAGACCCUACGAGUGUCCCCAGUGUCAGAAGAGGUUUCACACCAGCUCCAAUCUCCUCCUGCAUGAGCGGAGGACACCGAGGAGAGCCCCUUCCGCUGCCUGGACUGUGGGAAGGGCUUCAAGUACAACUCCCACCUCGUCACCCACCGGCGCAUCCACACUGGGGAAAGGCCCUACGAGUGUCCCCAGUGUGGGAAGAGCUUCCCCAACCGUUCUAACUUAACCAGACACCAACAGAGGCACCUGUAAGUGAAGCCCUGUAAAUGCCCCAACUGCAGGGAGAGCUUCGUGCCUGGCUCCAGCUUCAUACCCAAUUGGAGGAUCCACACUGGGAAGAGACCUGUGUUCCAUGUUCACUGUAAUCCAUGCUGGGAAGACACCUGUCCCUUUUCCUGCCCCUGCCAAUGACAUGAUGUGGGAUCAAUGAACAUGAGGUUCUGGCCAGGGCCAUGUCAUUAGAUCCACUCCCUCCUCAGGUCAUUGCCAGAGGCAGGAAAGGGUCUCUCUCUCCCUGAGGAGAAGAGUAUCCUUGCCAGGUAGGCGGAAAUAUGUGGCCAGGAUGACCCAGUGAGUUGUGUUUUGGUUUUCCCUGUAAAUAGUUUUUCUUUUCCCUUUUGUUAGCAGUAUUGUUUCUGUUCCUGUUUGUUCUUUAUCUCGUUGCUGUUCCCAAUAAAUUGUUCUUAUCCCA